GUGCGUCAGCCCCGCUGUUUAAUGGGGUGCCGGGACCGCAGGGGCGCCGAGCGGCCGCCCCCCCCCCCCGCCCCACACGUGUGGCUCUCAUUACUGUGAGGAGGUGUCAAGGCGGCAUAAUUAGGCGCGGUUCCCACAUCCCUGCGGCCUGGGCUCUGGCUCCGUGGCAGGGAGCCCAGGCAGGGGCCGGGGCUGCCGGCCGGGGCAUCUAAGGGACUCCGCCAGUUUCCACCUCGCUGAGCAAAAAGAUGAAUGGGGCUCUGUCCCCCACAUGGGGUCUGGAAUCCUCAAUUACGGCAAUUACAUCAACAGGUCUCUGCUGCAGAGGCUGGGGCUUAGGAGAAGAAUCCUGAAGCUACGGUGGGGUUUUCCCUGUCUUUGAAAGGCACGGCGGAUGAAAGGAGGCUCCAUCUCCAUCUAAUUGGGCUCUGGGUGGGGAAGGAGGGUGGGUUUGUUUUCUCGCAGGGCCUGGUGCUUUCUCCCUGGGUCCCCAGCGCGCAGGGCGGCAGGCAGCCAUCGAGAUGGUCUUGGUGUGGUAUCAGAAGAACGGAUUGCUUGGGAAGGUCAUUUCAUCUCGCUGAUCCUCAAUGUCCACAUCUGUAAAACGGGCACAACGCAUGCCACGAUGCCCUCCUUCCUAAGAUCUCAAAGGCUCUGGUGCUACCUGGGCUCAAAACCACUGGAUAUUUCCUGUCUCACCUUCCUGGCUAGGCAGGCAGGACUCCAAAGGUAGCUCUUGUGCCCAAAGCGUGGCAGUCACCUGGAGUUAGAGGGGGUUGCAGGCCCACCCAGACCCACAACUUACCCACCUCAAGUGUCAGCAAGUGCAUGCAGGAGAGGGAACCUGUGGCCUUGCUCUCGUCUGGAGAACAAGGUUAGUGAUGUUUGUUCUUUUCUGCAUGAGAAAUGCUGUGAUGAAAAAGAGGUUUAUAGGGGGAAAGGUAUUUUAUCCAGUCUUUCCUUCAUUCACUCAAUGAACAUUUGCUGAGCAGCUACCACAAGGUAGGUGUGGGCUUUGUGAAUUAUAGUCAGUUCUUAGACACAUUUUCAAGUAUUUUUCUUCCUAUUUUUUUGUUUGUUUGGUUGGUUGAUGUUUUUGAGAUGGUUUCGCUAUGUAGUUCAGGCUGGCCUUGAACUCGUGGCAGUCCUCCUGUCUCAGCUUCCCAAAUGUGGGGAUUACAGGCUGACCUUGAACUCACAGCAAUCUUCCUGCCUCAGCCUCCUGAGUGCUGGAAUAUCAGGCAAAUACUGGCACACCCUGCAGGAGUGUGGGGUGAUUUUCAGGUUUUGUCAUUUAUGUGUGUGAGCCAGGUGUAAGACAAGCAGGCACCCAGGGCCACUGAGAGCACCACGUCAGCAUGUUUAGCAGCUAGCCAAAGCAUCACCUGUGAGAGGUCACUGUCCUGCUCCUCAAGGCCACUCUGUGUGUCCACAGCAGCAGUGACAGCCUGUGCCUUUCCAAGGCAGGACCUGAGAACACACCCUCCAGUGCACCCCAGGGAGGCAGCCUCCAUGCAGGAGAGCAAGAGCUCAGGGCUAAGCCUCCUGAGAGGCCACAUCGCCGGGGAGGCUCAGCCUGACCCCAGCCGGAUGGACUCGAGUCAGUGUGGUGGCAGGAGGAACCAGCUUCCUGGCCUGGGCGCCCACCCUGGCACGAGCAAAGGCCUAGUGCUCCAAGGCAGGGCACCUGUGCCUGGCUGGACGGGUGAGGAUGCUUGGUGCCCUCCAUGGUGGCUCCUCUGUGUGUGGGGACAGUGGAAUGUGGGCCACCAGGAGCCUUUCCCUGGGUUCCAAGCGUUGAUUGCUUGUGUUGGACGGCACCCUUUGGGUGCUGAGUUAAUGUUUGACUACACUUGCAAACACAGGGUAUCUGUUUGUCUCCGGCGAGGAUGCAGGGCACAUGGGCUUUGGCACCGCUACCCUGGGGACUGCUGCUCAUUCUCUUUGGGCAUAGGAAAGAGGCAGUGCCUUACCAUGGUCCUUCUGGGUUCUCUGUGGAUGGAGGUGGUGGCUACUGUUGGACAAAAAUGAUCCUGGGGGAUGGUGGCUCUGGGCUUGAGAAGUAGUGUCAUGCCAGUGACGGAACCUGAAAUCUAGGAUUGGAACUGAAUUCAAGUCUGUGUACUUCCUUUUCUAUUUCUUUUCUUUUUUUUUUUUUUUUUUUUUUUUUGAGACAGGCUCUUCCUAUGUAGUGCAGGCUGACCUUGAACUCUCUGUGUAACCCAAACCCAAACUGGCUCAAACUUGUGCGGAUCCUCCUGCCUCAGCCUAGAGUGUGCUGGGAUUACAGAUGUGCACCACCGUGCUCAGUUUCUCAGCUCCAUUCUGCUGGGCCUUUUGGAUGGGGCCCUCAUUAGUCCCAGCCACAGCCUCAAGUCCAAGGGCAGUGACUGAUUACAGCCGGACUAUUGCUCUGGCCACUGGGCACAUACAUGUUACCAUCCUGGGGGGACUGGCAUUAGUGUGCAGGGAAGAACUUCUUUCAGGGUUUCAGGAGUGGCAUGGCCCUAUUUUCCCUUGUAAGAGUUUUGUUUUGUUUUGUUUUACCACUGUGGAAGCAGCUCUGAAGAUCUUUCCAGUGAACACAGAAGCACCUGCCUCACUGAGCACAGGGUGUCAGCAGGGCGACUACGGGGCCCUAAGAGCGUCUCCCACAGCACUAGGGCAAACUCUCCCCUUGCUCCCGGGGCCACCUUGAAAUGCCCACCUCCUGUUCUGACUUGGCGCCCCUCUCUGGAGAGUGAGGGCCAUUGUGAUCUCAACCCAGGCAACACCCAGCCACUCUCAGGAUCUGGGUGUCAAGGUGUGAAGAUUGUGCCUGCACUCACUGCUCUAAGCACCGUGCAGGCCCUGCAAGUGUUGUGUUUCAGGGCAUUUGGGGCUGACGCCCAUCUCUUCCCCUGGAAGAGCCACUCACUUUCCAGGCCUGGGAAAGCACCACUGCCAGCGGCAUCUGACCUUCUCUGCCCCGUGCCCUCUCCCUAGCAAGGCUGUAGCUUGCAGGUGGUGGGGAGACUCAAGAGUUCCCCAAAGUCACUUCACUGGGAGUCUGGCUCUCCAGAUGUGCCACCAUAAACACAUCUGACACUUCAGCCCCCAAUUCCAUUGAGCUCAACGAGGGUGCAGGGUGUGUCCAGGGAGCUGUCUGGAAGCACUUGUAGCUCCUUCCUUUGAACCUUUGGGUGUACAUUUCUCCAGUCCUGGAUACUUCUCAAGUGUUUGCUAUGCAUCAGAGCUGGGCUCAGGGCCCUGCCUUAGCUCCUGUCUGGUGUAGAAAGGACAGGUAUGUAAUGCUGUGUAACAAGCAAUCCCCAAGUGUCAGUAAACAAUGAACUUCCAUUUUUCCUUCGGCUCCCUUGGAAACUCGGCUUUCCAAGAAAGGGAUCUGUUCCUGCCAUCAGAGGGUGCCCUCCUCGGUGCCCACAGCAGCUGCACCCCGUUGGACCUGCCACUUGGGGGGAGACAGUAUGGAGAGUUUACACCCCUGAGGAAGGCUUCCUACCGGAAGUCACACUGCCACUCCUGGCGGCAAGCAGGGCACAGCGGUGGACUCCUUCCCCGGGCCUGUGCACAAAGAACUGGGCCUGAGGUUGAAAGGGCCAUGCGGGAUUUGAAGUGCAGAAGCCCUAGAGAAGGUUUGCUGCUUCUCCUGCUUCACCUUCACACAUACACUCACACUCACACACUCGCACGCACACACACACACACACACACACACACACACACACACACAUACACAAUGGCGGAGCGCUGCAGCCCAGUAGUCAGAUGAUGGACAGCGUGUUUUGGCAGUUCAGAGAGCCGGUCCAGAUGGAGACAUCCGGCCAGGAGGGUGGAGGGAGGCGGCACCUCUUGCUUCUGGGGCUUGCAGACGCUGGACUUGGGCGUUUUGUGCGUGGUAUCUCGGUGGGUGGCUUCUCACACCUGCAGAACCAACUGCAAAGCCCAUUCAGUCCACACUCUUGACUUAGCACGUGUGCUGUUCCCACCCCAGGGAAGUCUGGAGGCCUGGGGGUGGGAGGGGAAGUGGUUUGUAACUCGGUUUGACCAAGGAGCUUUCCUGGAAUGGACCCUGGGGAGAAAUCCGAUGCAGCAGGGUCAAUUAGGAGCUGGGUUUACUGUAGAUCCAGCGGGGCCUCCCCCUCCCCUCUCGCCUCACCAGCCCUCUCCGGCUGCGUCCCCGCCCCCACUCUGGUCCCUUGCCCGCCUUGCCUGGGCCAGAUCAGAGCUGAUGUGGGGGGUGGGGCAGAGCACACAGGUUUUGGCUCCCGGGGUCUCACAGCAUAAGGAUGGAAGGGAUAAGGUUGCAGGCUCCAGGGCCCCAGUGUUUGCAUAGAAACUCAAGAAGAAUCCUCCGGGAUGGGCAGAGGGAUGUGGGCUGACCCGUGGAGGGGUGUGGGUAACCGGAGUCAAAGAAAAUAAGCAAACUGCACGGCAUAGGCACCCAGAAAGCAGACCGCCGGGAGCUUGGGGUAUGUGGCCAUGCAGAGCAGUGGAUGGUGGGGACUGGGCCAAUCCAAUCUGGUCAGUGGGCAGUGCCCUGGGCUGGGCCAGUUGCCCCUCAGUGGCCCAGCUGUUUGCACCUGGCCAUGCUUGCAGCUGUCUCCAGCAAGCUGGCCCUGACCCAGGCAGAAGUUGGGCUUCACUGGUCUUCCUGCCCCUCCUAACACCUAGGGAUGGGGACAGGCUCUGUGGACCUCAAGGGUGGUUUGGGUGAAGCCAAAUUGCUGCAGAGCUGGAAGCCGCUCUGGACCCAGCACCAGCUGAGGUUUGGUGGCCACCGGCUCUUCCGGAUCCUUGGGCUACAGACACAGGGGCCAAGAUGCUUCCUCUGGGGCUCCAGGGGCAAGCGUGUCCUGCUCCUCUGCACAGUCCACGGUCUCAGAGCUGAUGUGGACCCCAGCCGGCUGCUGGGCCUGUGGUUGUCAGCCUCCUGGGCGUCACCUGGGAGGCUGAGAAAAAGGUGGAUUCCCAGGCUCUGAGCGUGGAAGUUCUAGGCUCUGAUGUUGGCCUUGCCCCCACCCAGCUGUUGGCUCUGCAGGUCCCACGCUCAGAGGGGAGACUGAGUCAGUUCCCUGGGGCAGCAGAGCCCAGCAGUGCUUGUGCCUGGCAACCGCCUUGCCCCUGGAAUUUACUGUGCUCAUUAAGUCCGAGGCUCCAGACCCGCCCUUGCUGGGCUCUCCCGGCAGGUCCCUGCCAGGGCAGGUUUCUGCACUGGCCCACUUCUGUGCCAUCCAGGGAAAGGAAGCCUUUCCCUGAUAGGUGACACCAUCCCCUGUUCCUUAGGCCCUUAGGAUGCUUCCCUGAGCGCCGGGGGAGCUGCGAGCCUGGAAUACAGCCAGGCACUUGACAGAGAGGCUGCAGGCACACACUUCCCACCCCUCCCUGUAUGCACAAGCGUGCACACACACGCGUGUCCACAUGCACACUGGGCCUGGCUGCAGAGUACGCUCUCCUGGAGGGACCAAGACCUGGGACGUCACUCGGGGGAAACACUUUCAUUUUCAUUUCUACAUUUCAAGAAGAUUCUCCCUAAAAGAUUGCUGGUCUCCUUGUAACUGCCUGGGAAGCUGAGGUCACAGGCUGGAGCCUCUCAUCCACACCUACCCUGCAUGACGAGGUCAGGGACAGAGACUCUGGGUAUCUGAUGGUAACAGGUCCCAGUGCUUGGAAUGAACUAUAAACUGUUCAGACAAUAACUUGUAUGUGUGUGUGUAUGUGUGCAUAAGUGUGCAUGUGUGUAUGAAAUGGGGUUCAUGGGUCCAUAUUCAUGGAUUGAACCACAGAUUGAAAGCAUUCAGAAAAAAAAUGCAGGGCCAGGGAUGUAGCUCAGCACACAGUGCCUACCUGGCAAGCACAAGGUCCUGAGUUCGAUUCCUGAUACCACAAAAAAGAAAAGAAAAAAUGCACCUACACUGAGCGGGUAGACUUUUUUCCUGUUGCUAUGUCCUCAGCAAGGCCGCGCAGUGAGGAUGCCUCUAAGACCCACAUUGUUCUGGAGGUGGCUUAACGUGGGUGGAGGGUUUGCACAAGUUAUAUGCAAAUGCUGUGUCAUUUUAUUGAUUUAUUUGUUAUUUAUAUUUCAGAUGGGCUUGAAAUCUGUUACCCAGUCUGGUUUUGAAUUCCUGGGCUCACGCCAGUCUCCUGCCAUGGCUUCCUGAGUCGCUGGGGCCACAGGCGCCUGCUGCCAUGCCUGGCCACUGUGCCACCUCACACCCUGGAUCUGAGCAUCCAAGAAUUUGGGUGCCUGGAAGGUCCUGGAGCCCACCCCUCACAAAUACCGAGGGGUGACUGUGUGGGUGGAGAGGAACAGGAAAUACACAUGGUGUCCAGGGUAGAGGAUAAAAGGUUAACAAGACAUCAUAAAACAGACACAAGUGAUCUUUGUACUAUUUUUAUUUUUGCGAUUUUUUAACCGUUCAAAAUUUAUUUUUCUGAAUAAAAUCAUCUAUACAGGGUAUGUGGUUUGUUCAAGGACACAGAGCAGAGGAGCAGGUGGCUGAGUGGUUUGCAGGAAUAUCCUGCUGGUCACUGCUUACCAUCUCUGGAUUUCCACGUUUUAAACUCAGUUUCAGUGCCAGCUGUCCUGGCUUCUUCGUGAUGUGUCCACAUUUCCUGUACUUGUCUUUCCUCUUAGGGUGGCAGGCAGAAGUGAAUUCUUUCUUGGUUGUUUUUUAUUUGCUUGUUUGAGACAGAGUCUUGCUAGCUGUUUUAGGCUGGUCUUGAACAGUGACCGUCCUCCUGCCUCAGCCUCCUAAGUACUGGGAUUCAAGGUAUGUGCCACCAUGCUCGGCUCGAAGUGAAUUGUUUUACCUUUCCUUUCUUCUUCUUUUGCUACCUGUAAGGUCUGUGUGAAGUACCUUGUCUGUCUAUUCCAGGCCAAAUCCCAAGGGCUGCAAUAUAAUAGUUGCCCAAGAAAUAUUUCUCAGAAGAGUUGAUGGGGAAGUGAAGGGAAGCCAGAGCUGGCCCAGACACACACAGGUGUCACGUGCGGGCUGGAGAUGCUAGAAAGGGGACCGCGGUUGGCAGGGUGGUGUCACAGUCUUGGAGGUGGCCUUCUGAGAAUGACUGACGUCCUUUGGGAGGCCCUCUCCUUGCUAGCACCCCCUCCCCCCGCCUAGAGGCUCUGUGGGACAAAGGACACUGUUGUGGCAGAUGGUGAGGGGGUCCCAGGGACGUCGGGCUGUGUGGGGCACAGUGCCAGGUGGGAUCUGCCACCUUCUGGAAACAGAGGAGUCCUAGACCAUCCCUGGGUAUCAUGCCUGCAUGCCCUGGGCUUCUGCCAGGCCACCCUGUUUCCCCAUGCGGAAUGGUAGCCAUGCCAAAGGUGCCCUGCAACUUUCCUCCUGUCCCUGGGGUGCAGGGCCCCAGGCUGCUGCAGCCCAGGGCUACACAGGCCCCCAGGCCAAAGUGCACCCAGGAGCCUGGGCAUUUUUAUGUUAACGUGGAACACCAAUGCACACACUUAUUCAAAUCCCCCAACGCAGGGACUCAUGUGGUAUGGAGUGUGCCCCUUCCACCCUGCCCUCCCUGUGCCCAGCUGCCCUACUGAUGUUCUUAGUUUCUGAGGAGAAUGUCCAUGGGUAGUUUGUCUGCUUACUUAUUUUGUUUCUUGAGAUGAGGGUCCCACUAUAUCAUUCAGGUUGUCCUUCAACUCACUAGGUAGCUCAGGUCGGCCUUUAACUUGCAGUGAUCCUCUUGCCUCAGCCUCCUACGCACGAGGAUUACAGGGGUGCACCCCCACGCCAGCACGACGGGUAGUUCAGGGAUGCACAACUGAAUGUAUAUCAGUGUAGAUUUCUAGUCACUCUGUUUGCGUCUUGCCUUGUGCACUUAAUGGCAGGUUGAGGUGCUCGCCUUUAUUCCUAAGAGCUCAUGGAAGUCUCUGUGUUUGGUUUCCUGGGGCUUGGGGCUGUCUUGUAUAUGCAGGUAUCAAUAGACAACCGAAAAUGCGCACAGGUCUGUGAUCAAAGGAGCCCGCUCUCAACCUCCCCUGCCACGCUCCCCUGCCAGCAGAAGGGGGACCCUGUGUUUCCACAGGGAGAGAAGGGCACUCGGGAAUCACAGAGCGAGGUGCGGGGACCUCGCAUCAGCGCAGUCCAGCGUGGUGACCACCAGCUGCCCAUUCCUAAUGUGGUCACGAAGGCAAAGUACUACGGGUCUGCCCAACUGGAUCGUGCUCUGAGGUAUCCCAUUGUCCUUGCCGCUUUCUGAAGAAGUUCAGGAGUCCACUUCCUAAGGUCUUUAUGCGUGUGACCACGGCUACCGAACAUGGCCCCACGGAAAGGCAGCUCGUGAAAACGUUCCCGGGCAUCCUCCUCCACCUGAGCCACCGGACCUGCACCAUACUGCUUCUGGCUCUUCUCCAAAAUCAAAAUGACCAGGAAAGGUUAACAUUUUGUUGAUUUUGAGAUGAAGUCUUGCUGUGAAGCCCAGGCUGGUUUUGAACUCAUAGUGAUCCUCCUGCCUCAGCCUCCCGAGUGCUGGGAUGACAGGCAUGUGCUACUUUUUUUUUUUUACAGGUGGGUAAUGACGUUUCCAUGAAGGUUGAGGCUUCGGGCAUCAGGAAAAGCGAGUGGCGUCACUGGUUUCUGCGGCCUUCACUCCAACUCUAGAGUCUAGAGGCUGGGGGAGAGCGAGGCUCUGUCACCUUUUUGGCUUCCAGAGUUGGGGCUCAUCUGCCUGGGGCCAGAAAAGCCAGAGUGGCCGCCCCGAGCGAGCUGGCAUCGAGCAGCCCCUAAAUUCUUCCUGCUAGGGUGGGGGAGGCUGCGCACGGGGAUUUUCACAGAUUACACUCCAAGUGCGACCUCCGCAGGGCGGCUGGGUUCCCACAGGGACUGAUCCAUGCUGAGGGGCCCUCGGGAGCCAGACUGGGCUGCCUCUUUCUCCCGGGCAGCAGUGCACACAGUUUUUAAUAAUUAAGUAACUUUAAUUGUCCUGGGAAAGCCGAGCUCGCCUUGGGGCACGCAGCGCAAACUCAUAAUUAAUGUUACCAAGAGAGAUUAGCAGAGGAGGGCUGAGAAAUGAUUCACUUUUUAAAAAGCGCCUCACUGUUAAGCCUUAUUAUCCUGAGUUUAGAACCUCAUUUAUCUGCUUUGAGGAGCAAGGAGGAGGGGGAAGAGAAAAAGGCCUGAGACCCCAGAGACGACGGCAUGGGAAACGAAACCUGCACACUUUUGUCAUGUGCUUAAAAAGCAUCAGACAGGAGGAAAAUGUUGCCAUUUAUCAAUCGUGUUCUGGUGACUUGGGGGAAUUUAAGAAAUUCAGAGAAACUGAAUUAGGAACGGAUGACAGUGCGUGCACUUUAAAAAAAAAAAAAGUGAUAUCCUUCUCUGCUUAGAAAUGAUCUCUUUUGGGGACUUGUAGAAUGGCUUUUUCUCUCUGGUUCUUUAUGAAAGCCAGGCCAAACUGUGUGAUUUUCAGUGACUGUUUAGGAAGUGGUGUGUUUGGUAAGUACUGGGUGAAAUCAUGAGAGAGAGUCUCAAAGGAGAGGUUGUCCUGGCACAGAGAGCAACGGUCAAUGUUAAGGGCAAGCCCAGUGGGGCCUGGGGAAGAAAAUCAGGGGCAAAAAGUGCAGUAGCUCCGAGCGUGGUGGUGGUACACGCCGCAGUACCAGCACUCAGGAGGCUGAGGCAGGGGGAUCUCUGAGUUCACAGAGAUCUCUGUGAGCUACACAGUGAGACCUUGUCUCAAAAACCAAAAACUAAAAGUGCUGUAGCAAUGAUAGAGCUGGGGAGGGGACGGGGAGAGGCCUUGAACAUGCGGGGCAGAGUUACAAGGCUCUUCUGUGUGAUUGGUGGUGGGAAGGUGGGAUAUUAUGGGGUCCCUUGUGUGCUUUGUUUCCCAAAUAUUUGUCUCCUACAUUAUGAGCAUCUAGGCUAGACUCAGAUUUGCAACCCUCCUGCCUCAGCUUCCCAUUCUGCAGGGAAACUUUUUGAGGGUCCUUCUUUUCUUCUGGCUCCUCUGCACUCGGAUCCUCCCCAGAGGCACUGAACUCCUGAGGUGCUCUUCCUGCCAAAGGGUGUCCUGUACAGUGGGCACAAAGGUGCCCAGUCCCUUCCCUGACUGCUGGUGGUCAGUCACUGCCCACGAGGGGAUGGCUGAGCAUGCCAGGUCUCCCUCCUCCCCUGCUUUUGGAGGUGACCAGAAUGCAAGCUGCUCUAGCCAGCCCUCCCUGCGGCUGUCCCUUUGUGACCUCAGGGGGUCUAGCUUCUGGGCCAGAGUUGUCUGAAGUGAGCAUGAGGCCUCAGGGGAGGCUGAGGCAGGCAACCGACUCAGGCUCAAGGUAGAGGGGAAGGUGUGGGCUGGCCAGGCUCCAGGCAGAACGCCUGACUCCUCCUGAUGGAAGCUGUGGGGGCAGGUUGGAGACCGCACUCCCGUAAUGAAUAGCCAGGGCGGCUAUAACACCCAGGCUGAUGGGGGACACUCGGAAGUGAGCAGUGUGCCUCCAUAGCUCAGCCCGGUGCAAGCCACACAUCCUGCGCCUGCGCCUCGCUCUCUGCUCUUAAACCGGGUCACAGAGGCAGUUCAGGGAGAAUGCAGACUGUGCAGCCAAACUGUAAAAACGGCCGAUUAGCAUUUCAUUUUAUUUAGCGAUUUUUUCCCCCUUUGGAUAUACUAGGGAUUAAACCUGGGGCCUUCACACCACCCCACUUCAGUCCUGUUUUCAGUUUUUAUUUUAAGACAGGGUCUUGCUAAGCACUAACUUGCCCAGGCUGAGCUCAAACUCACCAUCCUCCUGCCUCAGCCUCCCAGAGUACUGGUUUACAGGUGUAAGAAUAUUUGCCAACUGGACAUUGGGUGAUUUUCAUUGUUUUGCCAUUUGUGGGUUUCCUUAGGGGCCAAGUCUUAUCAUUAUCUGUUAACGUAAUUCUGGAGACAGACCAGGGACAGUGGGAGCCUAUCUCAGGUGUGUGUGACUUCACCUCUUGACCUUGGGCAAGUGCUCCUGGCUUCCGGCCCUCAGUUUGAUCGUUUGUCUAAGAGAGGCAUCGGGCUUCCCCUGCGCUCUAUAGAACUUUGCUUGUGGUCUGUGUGUGACCCCAAAGCCCAGGUGCCUCAGAGCUCCUCUCUGGGGUCAGCAGCGCUGGGCUGCUGGCGAGGCCCCGGCCGGGGACAGGUUCACCUUUCCCUGCACCGUCCCCGCCCGUGACCCAGCAGCCUCUGCAAGUCUGGCCUUGCUGGGCCUGCAGCAUGGCUCCCCACCGCCGGUGCGGCCAGGCGAGACACCUUUCUUGGCAGCACUCUCCAGGGCUCCCGGAAUGUCUGAUUACUCACAGGCUUGCGACAGCACGGAGGUCUCCAGCGCGUAGGGAGGCAGCUGUGGCUUCCUUCCCGAUGACCUCAGCCCGUGGGGUGGGCUCACCUGGUCUCUGGACACUGAAGAGACUCAGCCCGGAACAGGAGGCUCCCCACAACCUUGACUGUGGAAUGGCUGGGUCUGAGUGGCCUUGAUCCCUGGGGUCUGACAGCAUCAGUAACAUGCCCAACGCGUCCCUCCUGGUCUUCUGUGUUCCUGGCAGGAUCUGCAGCCAUAAAUCAUUUCUGGUGGCUGCUGCCGAAUACCAGCCCUGGAAAAGGCUGCAAAGAGAGGAUCCUCACCAAGGCUGUAGAAAAAGAAUCUUUUAAGAGCGUUAUCUAUCUAUCGACGCACGUUCAGGCCCUGACGGUGACCUGGAGCUGCGCUGCCUCUCCAUCACCCAGGAAAUGACAGGGUCGCGAGGAGUCUGAAGCGCCUCCCAGUUCUGCCCGUGGAUUCCUGACCAUUGUCUGGAUUUGGGGAACAUCUCCCUUGAGUAGUCACCAGCUGUCUGUCUGCCUUUUGUGAUUCCUGUCCUGUCCUAUGAGAGGAGGGAGCUGAGCUUUUGAAUCUUGGUCAUCACAAACGUAUAAUACAAAAACAGAACUGAAGGUGUUUCUGCAAUCUUUGGAUGAGAAUCUUAGAAAUUCUUGAGAAAUAUCGUUAAGUUUUAUGUUGGGACAGCUAGAGGCAGGAUGUCAGAGAAGUGACCAGCAGUCCACAGAGGCUGUCCUGAAUGUUUUGUUUUAAAUGAGGUCUGGCUACGUACGUGCUUUGGGCUGGCCUAGAACUCACCAGGUAGCCCCAGCUGGCCCUGAACCCGUAGGGCUCCUCGCCAGGGGUUGGUUACAGGUUUGGGCCACCACACUUGGCUACCUGGAGUAUUUUGCUCUUCAACAAUAAUGGAAGGGGCUUACAUCUGCAGAGCAUGAAGAUGGUUAGUUCUUGGCCUUGUAAUAGGUUUUACUCUUUAGUAGUGCUAUCGAGUCCAAGUGGAUGUUAAAAGUUUGUGCUAACAGCAUGAGACUCUUCAGUUCUUCAUUUUCUUUCUUUCCUUUUGUCUUUUUGAGACAGAGUCUCGCUAUGCAGUUCAGGCUGGCCUUGAGCUCACUUUGUAGGCCAGACUGGUCUCGAAUUCGCAAUGAUCCUCCUGCCUCAGCCUCCCGAGUGCUGAGAUUACAGGUGUGAGCUACCACACCCGGCUACAGUUCUUUGUUUUCCAAUGUCUCCGGGUAUAGACACACUUUGGAACCUUCCAGAGCCUCUUGGAAGGAGACAGAGACAGAACAUUCUCCUCUUUGGUGUGCACGUGAGACUUGAAAUGGUAAGCUCCAGACUCUAAUGGUGUCAAGCAUAAAAAGAAUCUGGAAUGUACAAACCUAGCUUCUUUCCAGGAAAGAUUGGGUUUUCUUCCCAAACGUCCCUGGUUUUCAUCAAAACUUGAAACAUAGCCAGCCUGAACGCACCUGCCCUCUGGCUCUGUGUUGGAAGACAGGAGAGACGGAGGAGCUUUGAGUUUUCGUUUUGCUUUCCCUCUGACUGUGGGCAGGCAGCUUUGCUCCUUCGGGCUUCAUGCCUUCGUCUGAGAGAUGAGUGGCCGGACUGCUUGACUUCUCAGCUGAGACUCAAAGAGCAGACCCAAGAAAUAUGUGGCUGUCUGCUUUUUGAAUGCUGAUCACAUGUGAGAGAGAUGGGCAAGCAGCAGAAGAUACUGAAGAAGACACUGAACAAAGUCUCACUGCAGCCUGGCUGGCCUCACCGUAUAGCCAUCCUCCUGCCUCGUCUCCUGAGUGCUGGGAUUACAGGUGGAAUCAGGCAUUUCCAUCACCGCAGGAAAUCCCUUCCCAGCCCAUCCUUGCCUCCCCCAGCAAGUCGGUGACAUUUCUGGUUGGCUUCGAUGACUCUGGGAUGCCCUGGAAGUGCAGUCAUUGUGGGUGGCCUUCUCACAUUUGCCUUGGUGUUUUCGAGAUCUGGCCACACACACAGAUGCCGAUUUUAUCCCGGAGUGGUAUUCCCCUAUGUGAUACUGUGUGACUUAUUUUUCUGCUCCCUUUCUCUUUUUUUGUAUUACUUGUACCCUCUUAUCUGCUCCCUUUCGAUGGACACCGAGUUGUCCCCAGGUUUGAACUAUCCUGAAUAAAAGUGCCCAGCUGCUUUGGCA